AAUCAACGCUGGCGGCGUGCCUCAGACAUGCAAGUCGAACGCGAAAGUUUCCUUCGGGGAACAAGUAGAGUGGCGCACGGGUGAGUAACACGUAGGUUAUCUACCUUUGGAUGGGGAAUAACAACCGGAAACGGUUGCUAAUACCGCAUAAUGCAGCGGCACCUAAUGGUGACAGUUGUUAAAGCGGGGAGUCGAAAGACCUCGCGUCUGAAGAGGAGCCUGCGGCGGAUUAGCUAGUGGUUAAGGUAAUGGCUUACCAAGGCGACGAUCCGUAACCGGCCUGAGAGGGCGGUCGGUCACACUGACACUGACAUACGGGUCAGACUCCUACGGGAGGCAGCAGUCGGGAA
rnacentral:rRNA from 1 species